rnacentral:rRNA from 1 species
CACAUUGGGACUGAGACACGGCCCAAACUCCUACGGGAGGCUGCAGUAGGGAUCUUCCACAAUGGGCGAAAGCCUGAUGGAGCAACGCCGCGUGUGUGAUGAAGGCUUUCGGGUCGUAAAGCACUGUUGUAUGGGAAGAAAAGUUAAGGUAGGGAAUGACCUUAGCCUGACGGUACCAUACCAGAAAGGGACGGCUAAAUACGUGCCAGCAGCCGCGGUAAUACGUAUGUCCCGAGCGUUAUCCGGAUUUAUUGGGCGUAAAGCGAGCGCAGACGGUUGGUUAAGUCUGAUGUGAAAGCCCGGAGCUCAACUCCGGAAAGGCAUUGGAAACUGGUUAACUUGAGUGCAGUAGAGGUAAGUGGAACUCCAUGUGUAGCGGUGGAAUGCGUAGAUAUAUGGAAGAACACCAGCGGCGAAGGCGGCUUACUGGACUGUAACUGACGUUGAGGCUCGAAAGUGUGGGUAGCAAACAGGAUUAGAUACCCUGGUAGUCCACACCGUAAACGAUGAACACUAGGUGUUAGGAGGUUUCCGCCUCUUAGUGCCGAAGCUAACGCAUUAAGUGUUCCGCCUGGGGAGUACGACCGCAAGGUUGAAACUCAAAGGAAUUGACGGGGACCCGCACAAGCGGUGGAGCAUGUGGUUUAAUUCGAAGCAACGCGAAGAACCUUACCAGGUCUUGACAUCCUUUGAAGCUUUUAGAAAUAGAAGUGUUCUCUUCGGAGACAAAGUGACAGGUGGUGCAUGGUCGUCGUCAGCUCGUGUCGUGAGAUGUUGGGUUAAGUCCCGCAACGAGCGCAACCCUUAUUGUUAGUUGCCAGCAUUCAGAUGGGCACUCUAGCGAGACUGCCGGUGACAAACCGGAGGAAGGCGGGGACGACGUCAGAUCAUCAUGCCCCUUAUGACCUGGGCUACACACGUGCUACAAUGGCGUAUACAACGAGUUGCCAACCUGCGAAGGUGAGCUAAUCUCUUAAAGUACGUCUCAGUUCGGACUGCAGUCUGCAACUCGACUGCACGAAGUCGGAAUCGCUAGUAAUCGCGGAUCAGCACGCCGCGGUGAAUACGUUCCCGGGUCUUGUACACACCGCCCGUCACACCAUGGAAGUUUGUAAUGCCCAAAGCCGGUGGCCUAACCGUAAGGAGGGAACC